GAAAGUAAGUAAGGGCGUAUGGGGGAUGCCUAGGCUCUUGGAGGCUAAGAAGGACGUGGUAAGUUGCGAAAAGCUGCGGGGAUUUGCAAACGAGACUCGAUCCGCAGAUAUCCGAAUGGGACAACCCGGCAGGUAGAAGACCUGUCACACCGCGAGGUGAGCUAACCCUCUGAACUGAAACAUCUAAGUAGGAGGAGGAAAAGAAAGAAACAUCGAUUUCCAAAGUAGCGGCGAGCGAAAUGGAAGAAGCCCAAACCGAUAUUGUUACGGCAAUAUCGGGGUUGUAGGACUGCAAUAUUCAAUUAACAAUGAACUGGAAUGGUCUGGAAAGUCCAUCCAUAGAGAGUGAAAGGCUCGUACAGGUAAGUUUGUUAUGCGAAAGCAGUAUCCUGAGUAUGGCGGGACACGAGGAAUCCUGUCAGAAUCAGCCGGGACCACCCGGUAAGGCUAAAUACUCCCAAGAGACCGAUAGUGGACCAGUACUGUGAAGGAAAGGUGAAAAGAACCCCGAACAGGGGAGUGAAAUAGAACCUGAAACCAUACGCUUACAACCGGUCGGAGCAGCUUCGUGCUGUGACGGCGUGCCUAUUGAAUAAUGAGCCUACGAGUUACUAAUCACUAGCGAGGUUAAGUGCAAGGAUGCACGGAGCCGAAGCGAAAGCGAGUCUGAACAGGGCGUUUAGUUAGUGGUUGUAGACGCGAAACCUUGCGAUCUACCCUUGAGCAGGUUGAAGGUUGGGUAAAACCAACUGGAGGACCGAACGAAUAAGCGUUGAAAAGCUUCUCGAUGACUUGAGGGUAGGGGUGAAAGGCUAAUCAAGCUGGGAAAUAGCUCGUACUCCCCGAAAUGCCUUUUGGGGCAGCGUUGUAAUAAAGAGUCUACUGGAGGUAGAGCUACUGAUUGGAUGCGGGGGCUUCACCGCCUACCAAAUCCUGACAAACUCCGAAUGCCAGUAGUAUGAUUUACAGCAGUGAGUGACUGGGUGCUAAUGUCCAGUCGCAAAAGAGGAACAACUCAGACCAGCAACUAAGGUCCCGAAGAAUAUGCUAAGUUGAUCUAACGAUGUUUUGUUGCAGAGACAGCUAGGAUGUUAGCUUGGAAGCAGCUAUUCAUUCAAAGAGUGCGUAACAGCUCACUAGUCGAGCGACAGAGCGUGGAUAAUAAACGGGCAUCAAGCAUAUCACCGAAGUUCUGGGCGCGAGAGCGCGGUAGGGGAGCAUUCCAUUCAGCGUCGAAGCAGUUUCGUGAGGAAUUGUGGAGCGUAUGGAAAAGCAAAUGUAGGCAUGAGUAACGAUAAUGCGGGAGAGUAACCCGCACACCGCAAGACCAAGGUUUCCUGAUCAACGCUAAUCGGAUCAGGGUUAGUCGGGUCCUAAGGGUAAGCCGAACGGUGAUCUCGAUGGAUAAUCGGUUAAUAUUCCGAUACUGACAUAUACCUCGAUGGAGAGACGAAGGAACGUAAGUGCCGCCACCUGACGGAAUAGGUGGUUAAAGGGCGUAGGUAUAGGGGCAGAUUAAGAGUUAGUCCUUGCUGAAACCUGACAGUACAGAGAGCCUACGGGCAAUUUGAUAGUGCACCCAAGUCGACUUCCGAGAAAAUCUUCUAAGUUAUAGUAUAUGUCACCCGUACCGUAAACCGACACAGGUGGUCGAGGAGAGUAUCCUAAGGUGCUCGAGUGAAUCACGGUUAAGGAACUAGGCAAAUUAACCCCGUAACUUCGGGAAAAGGGGUCCCUAUGAAAGUAGGGCGCAGCGAAGAGGUCCAGGCGACUGUUUAUCAAAAACACAGGGCUCUGCAAAUUCGAAAGAAGACGUAUAGGGCCUGACACCUGCCCGGUGCUGGAAGGUUAAGAGGGGAUGUCAUCGCAAGAGAAGCAUUGAAUCGAAGCCCCAGUAAACGGCGGCCGUAACUAUAACGGUCCUAAGGUAGCGAAAUUCCUUGUCGGGUAAGUUCCGACCUGCACGAAUGGUGUAAUGAUCUGGACACUGUCUCAACCGUGAGCUCGGUGAAAUUGUAGUAUCGGUGAAGAUGCCGAUUACCCGCGAUGGGACGAAAAGACCCCGUGAACCUUUACUAUAGCUUAACGUUGGAACCGGGCUGUCGAUGUGUAGGAUAGGCCGGAGACAGUGAAAUGGGUACGCCAGUAUUCAUGGAGUCGCCGUUGAAAUACGGCCCUUUGUCAGUCUGGUUCCUAACUCGCGAUGCGAGGACCGCGUUUGGUGGGUAGUUUGACUGGGGUGGUCGCCUCCAAAAGCGUAACGGAGGCUUC
rnacentral:rRNA from 1 species